rnacentral:rRNA from 1 species
GACGAACGCUGGCGGCGCGCUUAACACAUGCAAGUCGAACGGAAAGGCCUGCUUUCCCUUGUGGAUUGCGGGUACUCGAGUGGCGAACGGGUGAGUAACACGUGAGUGAUCUGCCCCCAACUUGGGUAUAAGCCUGGGAAACUGGGUCUAAUUCCCGAUAGGACUGCAGGGUGGUGCCUGUGGUGGAAAACGAUUUUCUAGUGUUUGGGGAUGAGCUCGCGGCCUAUCAGCUUGUUGGUGGGUAAUGGACUACCAAGGCGGCGACGGGUAGCCGGCCUGAGAGGGUGGACGGGGACAGUGGGACUGAGAAACGGCCCCGACUCGUACGGGAGGCAGCAGUGGGGAAUAUUGGAAGAUGGGCGGAAGCCUGAUGCAGCGACGCCGCGUGGGGGAUGACGGGCUUCGGGUGGUAAACUGCUUUCGACGGCGAGGAAGCCACUUGGUUGGAAGGGUGGUGACGGUAGUGGUAGAAGAAGCACCGGCUAACUACGUG